rnacentral:rRNA from 1 species
UACAGAGGGUGCAAGCGUUAAUCGGGAUUACUGGGCGUAAAGCGCGCGUAGGCCGUCGAGUAAGUCGGAUGUGAAAUCCCCGGGCUUAACCUGGGAAUUGCAUUCGAUACUGCUUGACUAGAGUGUGGAAGAGGGAAGCGGAAUUUCCGGUGUAGCGGUGAAAUGCGUAGAUAUCGGAAGGAACACCAGUGGCGAAGGCGGCUUACUGGUCCAACACUGACGCUGAGGCGCGAAAGCGUGGGGAGCGAACAGG